rnacentral:tRNA from 1 species
GCCCUGAUAGUGUAGUUGGUUAUCAUGCAGCCCUGUCGAGGCUGCGACCCGGGUUCGAAUCCCGGUCAGGGCG